rnacentral:rRNA from 1 species
AUUGAACGCUGGCGGCAGGCCUAACACAUGCAAGUCGAGCGAGCGGCGGACGGGUGAGUAAUGUCUGGGAAACUGCCUGAUGGAGGGGGAUAACUACUGGAAACGGUAGCUAAUACCGCAUACCAUCAGAUGUGCCCAGGUGGGAUUAGCUAGUAGGUGGGGUAACGGCUCACCUAGGCGACGAUCCCUAGCUGGUCUGAGAGGAUGACCAGCGACACUGGAACGGAGACACGGUCCAGACUCCUACGGGAGGCAGCAGUUGGGAAUAUUGCGCAAUGGGCGCAAGCCUGAUGCAGACAUGCCGCGUGUGUGAAGAAGGCCUUCGGGUUGUAAAGCACUUUCGGCUGGGAGGCGUUACCCGCAGAAGAAGCACCGGCUAACUCCGUGCCAGCAGCCGCGGUAAUUC